UGCAUAUCAAUAAGCGGAGGAAAAGAAACUAACAAGGAUUCCCCUAGUAACUGCGAGUGAAGCGGGAAGAGCUCAAAUUUAAAAUCUGGCGUGCCUCUGGCCGUCCGAGUUGUAGUCUGGAGAAGCGUUUUCCGUGUUGGACCGUGUACAAGUCUCUUGGAACAGGGCGUCAUAGAGGGUGAGAAUCCCGUCUUUGACACGGACUACCAAUGCUUUGUGAUGCGCUCUCAAAGAGUCGAGUUGUUUGGGAAUGCAGCUCAAAAUGGGUGGUAAAUUCCAUCUAAAGCUAAAUAUAGGCGAGAGACCGAUAGCGAACAAGUACCGUGAGGGAAAGAUGAAAAGCACUUUGGAAAGAGAGUUAAACAGUACGUGAAAUUGCUGAAAGGGAAACGCUUGAAGUCAGUCACGUCUGCCAGGACUCAGCCUUGCUUCUGCUUGGUGUACUUUCUGGUUUGAUGGGCCAACAUCAAUUUUGACCGUUGGAGAAAGGCCUUGGGAACGUGGCACCUUCGGGUGUGUUAUAGCCCUUUGCUGUAUACGACGGUUGGGAUUGAGGACUGCAGCACGCCUUCAUGGCCGGGGUUCGCCCACGUACGUGCUUAGGAUGUUGGCAUAAUGGCUUUAAGCGACCCGUCUUGAAACACGGACCA
rnacentral:rRNA from 1 species